rnacentral:rRNA from 1 species
UACGAAGGGUGCAAACGUUGCUCGGAAUUAUUGGGCGUAAAGCGCACGUAGGCGGCUUGGCAAGUCGGAUGUGAAAUCCCUCGGCUCAACCAAGGAAGUGCAUCCGAAACUGCUGAGCUUGAGUACUUAAGAGGAUCGCGGAAUUCCCGGUGUAGAGGUGAAAUUCGUAGAUAUCGGGAGGAACACCUGCGGCGAAGGCGGGUUGCUGGGCUGACACUGACGCUGACAGCGCGAAAGCUAGGGGAGCGAACGGG